AAAAGAAGAAGAAAAAAAAAGAAAGUAAAAUCAUAGGAUAAGAUGGAGAACAACUUGAUAGAGAUAGACAGC
rnacentral:sRNA from 1 species